rnacentral:rRNA from 1 species
UACGGAGGGGCUAGCGUUGUUCGGAAUUACUGGGCGUAAAGCGCACGUAGGCGGCUUUGUAAGUUAGAGGUGAAAGCCCGGGGCUCAACUCCGGAAUUGCCUUUAAAACUGCAUCGCUAGAAUUGUGGAGAGGUAAGUGGAAUUCCGAGUGUAGAGGUGAAAUUCGUAGAUAUUCGGAAGAACACCAGUGGCGAAGGCGACUUACUGGACACAUAUUGACGCUGAGGUGCGAAAGCGUGGGGAGCAAACAGGG